rnacentral:lncRNA from 1 species
CCAUGGUCAUCUCCUCGAAAAAGGUCUGAUGGUUUUAGUGGACUUCCAGAAUUAACUCACCACAGAUCUCAAACCAUAUACAGGAUGGAGAGGAUACGAUCUCAUAAUCGCCCUUGUUACACUGAAGAAAUAGUGCCUAGAAGGUGUGGCUCUCCUCCCUAUGGGGCACAGUCUUCCAGUCUUUUAACGAAUAUGGAUUCUGGAAGGAUAGGUCAUCCGAGGUCUGCUAAUCCUAAUAAGAGGAGGCCAUUUGACAGGGUGUUACCUAGAAAUACUAGGAGAUUUGAUUUUAUUGAUCCUCGAGAAAGGACAGAUAACGAUGAAUAUGUCAGAGGGCCAAUUCGCCCUGGUAGAUUUAAUGAGCUAGGUGGUGAUGGAAGGGUUGAUGAGAGAAGAAAGUGUGGUGAUAGGCGUGGACUUGUUUGUUCUUUUAGACCACCUUUUAAUGGUGCUGAUGGCGAAAAUUUGCAUUUUCAUCCUGACGAUGGCCCUGGGUCUUCAAGGAUCUGUCCAGAAGCUGAUUCAGAGUUCAUUGAAAGACGGAACUUGAGGGAAAGAGAGUUUGACAGGCGGAUCAAGAAUAAACCUGGAAUUGCAUCUAGUAGAGUGAGAAGCAUGGAAGAGGAGGAAGGAAACUACAGACAUGGUGGACAGCUUUGGCAGGAUGAUGGGUUUGAUGAUGUCUCCCAAAUGAAAAGAAGAAGAUUUUAACUUAAUUUUCCUACUACUAUGAACUGGUCUAUGUGAGAGGGUGUCAGAUUAUGGAAUUUAGUUAUCUGCAUCCUCUGAUUUGCUUUCAGACACGGGAGCUGCAUGUACUUGUUGCAAGAAUGAGGGUAUCAUGAAUGUUUAGCUAUGUUGAGCAUAGGUAUGAAAAAGACGCAUUUAUUAUAAUACAAUCUGAAAUAUGCCAUAAUACACGGUGCGAAAUGCUGUUUUUCAUGGGUGCUUGAAAUUAUGGAAGUGAUUCCGAGGCAACUUUGCCUUUGAGUUUAUCGUCACUUGUGUACUAUGGUACUUAUUUGCCUGAUAUUGUGCAACCACAACUUAAGUGUAAAGCUUCUGAAAAUCCAUGCUAUUGGUUCUUAUUUGCCUAUGCACGUUAGCUGCAGAAGUCAGGAAGUUAUAUGUGGUCAUAUACUUUGUUCGCAACAAUAUAUAUCUUAUGGUCAGUUUGGUGAAGUCGG